rnacentral:rRNA from 1 species
GACGAAGGUGGCUAGCGUUAUUCGGAUUCACUGGGCAUAAAGCGCGCGUAGGCGGCUCUUCAAGUCGGUGGUGAAAGCCCGCAGCUCAACUGCGGAACAGCCUUCGAUACUGUCGAGCUUGAGUGCAGGAGGGGUGAUCGGAACUCCAGGUGUAGCGGUGAAAUGCGUAGAUAUCUGGAGGAACACCGGAGGCGAAGGCGGAUCACUGGACUGCCACUGACGCUGAGGCGCGAAAGCUAGGGGAGCAAACAGGAUUAGAUACCCUGGUAGUCCUAGCUGUAAACGAUGGGUACUAGGCAGCGGGGGCCCGAUGCUCUCGCUGUCGAAGCGAAUGUGCUAAGUACCCCGCCUGGGGAGUACGGCCGCAAGGCUGAA